AAAAUAUUUUUUAAUAGAAAUGAUGAUUACUUGGAUAGCUGAAACAUAAUAUUGAAGAACAAACUUUGCGUACUACGCAGCAGACACGUGACUAAUUAAAAAGGUGUCAAAGGACUCCAAACUAGGAAAUCAAUCGACAUCUUCAUUCUCUCGAUCAAGGCUAUCCUUUGAGAGGUUCCCAUUUGACAUCUGCCCCGUCCUGGCAACCGCGGAUGCACCAAGUAUUUAUGCAGGCACAGAAUGCGCAUUUCGCACAUACUGGUAAACAGUCAUUAUUAACCUCACAUCUUGGAAGAGGAGGUUUUCCCUCUGCUCUAAUCACCUGAUUUGAUGGUAGGAUCCCGGAAGCAAGAAUUGCAAGAAUUAAGAAAGAAAUGAGCCGCAUUGGAGAUCCCUUCAUGUGUUCCAAUUUUCGAAGGAUGUAGUAAACG
rnacentral:lncRNA from 1 species